GCGCUGUGUGGUAGUCCCGCGCGCGAGCCGAGGGCGAGGUGAGCGGGCAGCACGAGUUUCCUUUGGGGCGUGAGGCGAGCGACGCAGCGCGAGAUCCCGCAGGGCUCCUUCCUGUUUGAGUCGUCGGGGAUAGAAAAAUGCAUUUGGGAGAAACAGUAAAGUAUUCGGCGGGCUUCUGCGGCCACUUUCCCGACUCGUGGUCGUCCCCGCCCGCCGCGUCGAGCUGCGAUGACCCGGAAGCUGCACAGUUCAGCCUCUGCGCCUCGUGCAUCGCGGAUAUGGCCAGCUUGAUCAGCACCAAGUGCAGCAUUCCAACGGCGGUGGGCAAGUCGAUCCCCUUCGGACUCCUCUCUACAAGGGAUUUCUCAUCUCCGGAUUCCCCAGUGUGUGUUCAGCGUGAUCACUCCAGCCACGCUCUCUCGCCAAGGGUUUUGCAAAAGCUGUCUGACCCGGCGAGCGGAGCCGCGUCGGCCUCUUGCUUAGGAGAUCCUUCUGUGCGUGAGAAGCGAGAAAGAACGGCGGACGCCCUGGGAAACGCACAGACCGCGCGUCCGACGAGGCCCUUAGCUAAUGGAGGCAAGCAGAAGCCGAGGACGUCUCGGAAGGACACUGGGAUGGUGUGGGAGUUCCUGCGGCGCCUCCUGCAAGACCCGGAGGCGAACCCGGCCAUCAUCAGGUGGGAGAGCCCCCUGGAGGGCCGCUUCCGCCUGGUCGAGCCGGAGGAGGUGGCCAGGCGCUGGGGGGCCGUCAAGAGGAACAGCAGCAUGAACUAUGAGAAGUUCGGCCGGGCCAUGAGGUACCAGUACAAGAUCAAGACCCUGCAAAGAGCGAAGCAGAAGUUGGUCUACAAAUUCGGGUCCAACGCCUCGGGCUGGCAGUGCUCAGUACGACGCACGGAGAUGAGUACCAAGGAAGGCGUGGCAUGAAGUCAAGGGCACCGUACGACUCAUGGAAGUACUGUUCGCUGUUUGACUGGAUAAUUUAGCAUAUCCGAGCUCAAAAUGAGUAUUUAUGAGCAUGAGGAUGAGGAAGAGAGGGGCGUAGUAGGAGUGGCGUGAGGUGUAAAGACGAAGGGAAAUGAGCUGGAGAUUUAGAGAUGUUAAAACCGAGUGCAGUAAAAGGUCUGAAUAGAAAGGACAAUUGCAUGAACAUGGACACUGCAUACUGCUUUACACUUUUAGCUUUUUAAGAGUUUGCAUUAUCAUGUAGAAGAGCUUUAAAUUCCAUGAAUUUUACAAGCUAUGUUCUCUAUUGAUCUGUUUCUUUUAGCUUUGUAUGUUAGCGAUUUUUAUUUAAUUUCUACAUAUAUUUUGCCGCACUCUAAAACUGGACAACCAUUGUUGCAGACGCUACACAAGUGUCAACAGAAGUCAUCCACACUACACCAGCCUCAAUUGAUGCUGCCAAUACUCCACCAGUUUCUUCUCACAGCUCAUGCACCAGUAAUACCAUUAUCGAAAAAAACAACGCCCAUAUUUACUAUAGCCUCAAAGGAAAUAAAAGUGAUUGUACUUCAGUUAAAAUGCACGUCACCAGGUCACCAGAUGAGAUUCCAUUGUCAGUAUAAAGUACUGUAUCGUGUCCAUAGUCAAGCUUUUAUCUUCUCUCUUUGAUUUAGUACUGAGAUCUAGAUUUUUUUUCCAAGAUUCACUUCAAAUGUUAUAUCUAUUUCAAAAUUAAAAGUGACAACCCAACACAUUUCGGCAUCUCUCUGUCCUUCCGGUGUUUUAGGUACUAAUUGAGAAUAUCCUCUCCUACAAAUUCCACACAAUCUAUGUAAAAAAAUUGUGGACUACUUAAUUAAGUUCGUGAACAGCAGAAUAAACAUGCAUUUCAUCUCUAUGUGAAUUUUGUGUAAACAAUACUGUCAUAUUUUAUAAUACUUGGGCGAACAACGUCAUGUGCAGUCUAUUAGUUAAAAAUAUUAAACAAACAAAACAUGAA
rnacentral:misc_RNA from 1 species